CUCCAGUGAAGAUCAUCAGACUCAUCCUUUGACAACAAAACUAGAAUGUGAAACUUUAAUUCUGCAUGUUAAUCAAACUCAGAUCGAUCCCAACGGACUUCACUUCUUCAUACAAACUGGAACAGCGAACAAAAGAGCACAAUCUGGCAUCCCAGAAGAGUGUAAGCUGGAAGAUCUGAAGCAAGCGAACACAGCCCUUUACAUUAUCUGUACUGCACUGACCAUGAGUAUGAUUGUCUCAGUCUAUCUCAUUUGGACCAACAAGAAGAAGAAUUGCAACAGUGAUUUCUCUUUUCCAUUUGAAACAGAAGCUGAGCCGACCAACAGUGAUCAGCAGGGAGAUGAAGCUUCAGUGACCUAUUCGACACCAACAUUCACCGAGACAACAGUUACCGAAGCAGAAAGAAGAAACAUGCUCUCAGAUCAGAAAGAGACGAUCUACAACGACGUGCGUUUCACAACUGAGGAGUAAUUC